AGACGCUGAUUUCCACGAAACCUUGUCGACAUUACAAAUAUCAUCGAAAGUUAGAAAUAUACAGAACAGUAUUACCAAAAACAAGGUAAGCUCAUUGAAGAGCUUUAGUUAGUUUUCUCAGAAUCAGGGGUUGAAAUUCUGGGGGUUUUUUGGAGAAUAAAAUAUUCUUAAUUAAGAUCUGGUUGUCAUAUUUAAUAUCAGGUCGCUCUUUAUCAACGAAGACGUAUUGAUAAAUAAAUCUGCAUUCGUAAAUUACGAAUAAUUAUUACAUACCAUGCAUGCAGUAACUCUGACUCUCUCAUCUAUAAUCUUACCCCCUAUACUAUAUAUACUGCCAAUAAUAUAAGGAGAAUUUCGACGUUUCGAGCGAAGGCCCUUCGUCUGGAAUUACUAUAUAGCGGCCGGGGUCGGACGUAAAAACAGUUGUUUUAUAUGCAAAACCAAAAUGAAGUACUUGCGAUACGGAAAUAUUUUGAGGCUUUAGAAUUACUUUAGCACUUUAAAUUGUUUCUCAGGCGAGACUGUUUUUAUUCAUUGGUUUACAGAUCCGCCGACCGUAAAUUUUCAGAAAGUGAAAACUAAAAAAAAUAAAUUAGAUGUCAACAAUUUUACGAUUUUAGUUAAUUUUAGUUAAUUUGGGGUUCUGACAUGAAGUGCACGCCAAGUAAACUUUGAAUCUAAGUACUGCUGGCUCAUGUUAUCGUUGUGACAAUCUUGAAAAACAAUGGUUUUUUUUAAAUUUUUUCCGACCUACCGACCGGGGUUGUUUUUUAAGUCAAAUCCGUAAACCAACAAAUAAAAAAAGUCUCGCCUCAGUUGCCACGAAGGCUAUACCUUUGACAAAUGUCUCGUCGCCACAUGAAAAAUUCGGUCGCAAUUGGCGACCUGCCCCCGCUGGUCACUCCAACCCCUGCUCAGGAUAUGUAUUAUCUAUUAUGGUGUUUUCGACAAUAGACAAAUUAUUAAGAACAACGUGCGUCUGUAAGGAAUGGAAAUACUGAGCUUUAACUUAACAAAAAGAGUAUGAUAUUUACUUGCAAGGUCAAAGAAACAUUUGUGUUGCUUUUGUUUUGUAUGUUAAAAACGUUUUCCCAAUAAAGAAAUGUACAACGAAAGCUUUAAUAACCAGUGAGCAGUUUUACCGCGGAUGUAAUUGAUCACAUGUUAAGUCGCUUCUAUAUUCUCUAUUAUAGAUUGAUAACACAAAAGUGAUUGAAGAACUCCGGGCUGAGAUCUCCCGUCUUCGUGAUAAAUUGACAGAUAAAAACUUCACAAAAACUCCAGAGAGAGAAGACGUGUUACAAAUGGAGG
rnacentral:lncRNA from 1 species